rnacentral:lncRNA from 1 species
GCUGAUUAAGUUGUUCUAGGGUCAUAUUGAGUCAGUGGCCUUGUGUGACUUGUACUCAGUCCUGAUUUCCAACUCAGUGGUAUUUCCAGCUGCCUCCCUAUAUCUGGUUGCACUCCCAGGGACCAAGGAAGAAAUCUGAUCUUCCUUCUACCUCAAAGGCCUUCACAUUUGUGAAGAUAGAUUUCACUCUGAGCCUCUUUUCCCCCUUUCCUGGAAAUUGUAUAGUCCCUAAAAAUUAGGACACUAUCCCAUGCUUGCCCGAACUAAGAACUUAUAGAUCAGAAUUAUCACCUUUCUUGUUUUAGGUGCUUCACGUUUAUGGAGUUGGGAUCAGAAGAAUUUCUGAGCAGACAAAGGCUGUUAGGCCUCAUAAAGUGCCUUAACCUUGUUUGACUUAUGAACACAAGUGAGACUUCAUUAGAGCUAUUUCUAAAAAAUACCUAAAGAAAAAGAGAACUCAAAUCCAAUCACUUAGAACCAGACAGGUGAUUUAUAUACCUAAGCUGUUUCCAAUAGGACAGACUAAAUAGUGUAAAUGUAUAAUUAUAUUAAAACAUUUUCUUUGAUUUACUUCUCUGUUUGCCCUAUUAAACUCUCCCUCUUGAGUUGCCUCUUUGACUUUACUGAACUACUUCUGGACUG